GGCCCGUUGGUCAAGGGGUUAAGACACCUCCCUUCGAGGUAACAGGGGUUCGAAUCCCUACGGGUCACCA
rnacentral:tRNA from 1 species